GAAGACAGGUGCUGCAUGGCUGUCGUCAGCUCGUGUCGUGAGAUGUUGGGUUAAGUCCCGCAACGAGCGCAACCCUUGUCAUUAAUUGCCAUCAUUCAGUUGGGCACUUUAAUGAGACUGCCGGUGACAAACCGGAGGAAGGUGGGGAUGACGUCAAGUCCUCAUGGCCCUUAUGGGUAGGGCUUCACACGUAAUACAAUGGUCGGUACAGAGGGUUGCCAACCCGCGAGGGGGAGCCAAUCCCAGAAAACCGAUCGUAGUCCGGAUUGCAGUCUGCAACUCGACUGCAUGAAGUCGGAAUCGCUAGUAAUCGCGGAUCAGCAUGUCGCGGUGAAUACGUUCCCGGGCCUU
rnacentral:rRNA from 1 species